rnacentral:rRNA from 1 species
AGCGAACGCUGGCGGUAGGCCUAACACAUGCAAGUCGAACGGCAGCACAGUAAGAGCUUGCUCUUACGGGGGGCGAGUGGCGGACGGGUGAGGUAUAUAUCGGAACCUACUCUUUCGUGUGGGUCAACGUAGGGAAACUUACGCCAAUAUCGCAUACGACCUACGGUUGAAAGCAGGGGAUCUUCGGACCUUGCGCGAUUGAAUGAGCGGAUGUGGGAUUAGCUAGUUGGCGGGGUAAAGGCCCACCAAGGCGACGAUCCGUAGCUGGUCUGAGAGAAUGAUCGGCCACCUUAGAGGUGGGACACGGUCCAGGCUCCUGCGGGACGCAGCAGUGGGGAAUGUUAGGCAAUGGGCGCAAAUCUGAUCCAGCCAUACCGCGUGGGUGAAGGAGGCCUUCGGGUUGUGAAGACCGUUUGUUGGGAAAGAAAAGCAGCAGGUUAAUACCAAGCUGUUGUGACGGUACUCAAAGAAUAAGCACCGGCUAACUUCGUG